rnacentral:misc_RNA from 1 species
GGGCAACACACUUACCUUCAACCAUCUUAAAGGAUUAUCCCAGCAACAUUCUCCUGCCUUACUAUUUUUAAUGGAAACAAAGAAUAAAAUGGGCUUUGUGAAGAAAAAUUAAGUAGAUUGGGUUUUUUAGCAUAUGCAUUUAAUUGAUCCUUGUGGCACUUCUGAGGAUUUGGGUUUAGCUUGGCAUGAUCAAUGUCAGGUUACUGCGAUGUAUUCUACAAUCUUCUUCUUUCACUAUCGCAUUUCUGAACCACAUCCCCAAAAAAUUUGGGAUAUCAUCCUAUUGUAUGCAAGUUGUGAGGAUGACAUUCCCAAGACUCAAUUCCAACAGCUGUUAUAGCAUAAAUCUUCUGUAUAUAUGGUGGCAGGGGACUUCAAUUCUAUUUUCUUUGCUAAUGAGAAAGUGGGUGGAAAUCCUUAUUCUCAAUGCAAAUUGCAAAUAUUUAAGGACUUUGUGGAUGAAUGGGGGUUAGCAGAC